rnacentral:rRNA from 1 species
UCAACGAGUCGGGUUGUUUGGGAAUGCAGCCCAAAUCGGGCGGUAGACUCCGUCCAAGGCUAAAUACAGGCGAGAGACCGAUAGCGAACAAGUACCGCGAGGGAAAGAUGAAAAGGACUUUGAAAAGAGAGUCAAAGAGUGCUUGAAAUUGCCGGGAGGGAAGCGGAUGGGGGCCGGCGAUGCGCCCCGGCCGUAUGCGGAACGGCUCUUGCUGGUCCGCCGCUCGGCUCGGGGUGUGGACUGUUGUCGGCCGCGCCGGCGGCCAAAGCCCGGGGGCCCUAGGUGCCCCCGGUGGCCGUCGUCGGCACGGCCGGUACCCGCGCGCCGAAAGGCGUGUCCCUCGGGGCACUGCGCUGCAACGGCCCGCGGGCUCCCCAU